UUUUGCUGUAAAUUCCUUCAUGUGACUACUUUGUUGCUAAGGCUACAAGUUCCCAUCCCGACACACAAAUCUUUUCCACUCCAGGAGCAGCUCAAGUCCUGGGCAGAAGUCAUGACUUAAGAGACUUACUUCAAACUCCUUGGAGUGCCUCCCUGCUAAAUAUCUGCUUAAGUCUGGAGGUUCAAAUGAAGUCCUCCCCCCACCAUCGUGUGUCACCCCCCUCCUUCUCUCCCGAGUUUGGAGGACUCUAACCUUGAUUUUCCAGCUUUGAGCUCCCUCUGGAAGCGGGCUGUCAGACUACUGAAAACCAUCUAGACCUUCAUCCACAGGCAGGUAAUCCACAAGUGAUGUUUUUUUCCCCCUGAGAGUACUGAUAUUAUGUAGUAAUCAUAACUAUAAAGUAUUUAUAUAAAGCAAAAUCUUGACUUGGACAAAGAAUUUGUCUUCCAGCCUGUAUGUC
rnacentral:lncRNA from 1 species